rfam:Canis lupus familiaris chromosome 30, whole genome shotgun sequence.
AGGGGGUAGGCCAGAUCCUGGGCUGUGUCCCGGCGCCCUGUGCUCCGGGGCCUGCGCUGUUGGAUUCGCGUUCCCCCCCCACCCCCCA